AGAGUUUGAUCAUGGCUCAGAUUGAACGCUGGCGGCAGGCCUAACACAUGCAAGUCGAACGGUAACAGGAAGCAGCUUGCUGCUUCGCUGACGAGUGGCGGACGGGUGAGUAAUGUCUGGGAAACUGCCUGAUGGAGGGGGAUAACUACUGGAAACGGUGGCUAAUACCGCAUAACGUCGCAAGACCAAAGAGGGGGACCUUCGGGCCUCUUGCCAUCAGAUGUGCCCAGAUGGGAUUAGCUUGUUGGUGAGGUAACGGCUCACCAAGGCGACGAUCCCUAGCUGGUCUGAGAGGAUGACCAGCCACACUGGAACUGAGACACGGUCCAGACUCCUACGGGAGGCAGCAGUGGGGAAUAUUGCACAAUGGGCGCAAGCCUGAUGCAGCCAUGCCGCGUGUAUGAAGAAGGCCUUCGGGUUGUAAAGUACUUUCAGCGGGGAGGAAGGUGUUGUGGUUAAUAACCGCAGCAAUUGACGUUACCCGCAGAAGAAGCACCGGCUAACUCCGUGCCAGCAGCCGCGGUAAUACGGAGGGUGCAAGCGUUAAUCGGAAUUACUGGGCGUAAAGCGCACGCAGGCGGUCUGUCAAGUCGGAUGUGAAAUCCCCGGGCUCAACCUGGGAACUGCAUUCGAAACUGGCAGGCUUGAGUCUUGUAGAGGGGGGUAGAAUUCCAGGUGUAGCGGUGAAAUGCGUAGAGAUCUGGAGGAAUACCGGUGGCGAAGGCGGCCCCCUGGACAAAGACUGACGCUCAGGUGCGAAAGCGUGGGGAGCAAACAGGAUUAGAUACCCUGGUAGUCCACGCCGUAAACGAUGUCUACUUGGAGGUUGUGCCCUUGAGGCGUGGCUUCCGGAGCUAACGCGUUAAGUAGACCGCCUGGGGAGUACGGCCGCAAGGUUAAAACUCAAAUGAAUUGACGGGGGCCCGCACAAGCGGUGGAGCAUGUGGUUUAAUUCGAUGCAACGCGAAGAACCUUACCUGGUCUUGACAUCCACGGAAGUUUUCAGAGAUGAGAGUGUGCCUUCGGGAACCGUGAGACAGGUGCUGCAUGGCUGUCGUCAGCUCGUGUUGUGAAAUGUUGGGUUAAGUCCCGCAACGAGCGCAACCCUUAUCCUUUGUUGCCAGCGGUCCGGCCGGGAACUCAAAGGAGACUGCCAGUGAUAAACUGGAGGAAGGUGGGGAUGACGUCAAGUCAUCAUGGCCCUUACGACCAGGGCUACACACGUGCUACAAUGGCGCAUACAAAGAGAAGCGACCUCGCGAGAGCAAGCGGACCUCAUAAAGUGCGUCGUAGUCCGGAUUGGAGUCUGCAACUCGACUCCAUGAAGUCGGAAUCGCUAGUAAUCGUGGAUCAGAAUGCCACGGUGAAUACGUUCCCGGGCCUUGUACACACCGCCCGUCACACCAUGGGAGUGGGUUGCAAAAGAAGUAGGUAGCUUAACCUUCGGGAGGGCGCUUACCACUUUGUGAUUCAUGACUGGGGUGAAGUCGUAACAAGGUAACCGUAGGGGAACCUGCGGUUG
rnacentral:rRNA from 1 species